rnacentral:tRNA from 1 species
GCCCGUGUGGCUCAGUUGGUUGAGCAUUGUUCUGUGCACUGAAAGGUCACUGGGUUCGAUUCCCAGUCAGGGCA